rnacentral:rRNA from 1 species
AGCUCCAAUAGCGUAUAUUAAAGUUGUUGCAGUUAAAAAGCUCGUAGUUGGAUUUCUGGUGGGAGGGAUCGGUCCUGCAUUCUUUGUAGGAACUUGUAUCCUCUCCGGCCAUCCUUGGGUGGAUCUUGUCUGGCAUUAAGUUGUCAGGCAGGGGAUGCCCAUCGUUUACUGUGAAAAAAUUAGAGUGUUCAAAGCAGGCUUAUGCCAUUGAAUAUAUUAGCAUGGAAUAAUAAGAUAGGGCCCUGGUACUAUUUUGUUGGUUUGCGUACCGAGGUAAUGAUUAAUAGGGACAGUUGGGGGUAUUUGUAUUCAGUAUUCAGUGGUGAAAUACUUAGACCUACGGAAGACAAACUACUGCGAAAGCAUUUACCAAGGAUGUUU